AGUGAACGCUGGCGGUAGGCCUAACACAUGCAAGUCGAACGGCAGCACAGUAAGAGCUUGCUCUUACGGGUGGCGAGUGGCGGACGGGUGAGGAAUACAUCGGAAUCUACUUUUUCGUGGGGGCUAACGUAGGGAAACUUACGCUAAUACCGCAUACGACCUACGGGUGAAAGCAGGGGAUCUUCGGACCUUGCGCGAUCGAAUGAGCCGAUGUCGGAUUAGCUAGUUGGCGGGGUAAAGGCCCACCAAGGCGACGAUCCGUAGCUGGUCUGAGAGGAUGAUCAGUCACACUGGAACUGAGACACGGUCCAGACUCCUACGGGAGGCAGCAGUGGGGAAUAUUGGACAAUGGGCGCAAGCCUGAUCCAGCCAUACCGCGUGGGUGAAGAAGGCCUUCGGGUUGUAAAGCCCUUUUGUUGGGAAAGAAAAGCAGCAGGUUAAUACCCCGCUGUUCUGACGGUACCCAAAGAAUAAGCACCGGCUAACUUCGUG
rnacentral:rRNA from 1 species